GACGAACGCUGGCGGCGUGCUUAACACAUGCAAGUCGAACGGAAAGUCUCUGCUUUUGUGGGGUGCUCGACUUGCGAACGGAUGAGUAACAAGUAAGUAACCUGCCCUCGACUUUGGCAUAACCUCCGGAAACUGGCGCUAAUUACUGCCAGGAGAUCCUGCUGCCUGGUGGGGGUUGGUAUGUUACGGCGGUUGGGGAUGGACACGCGGCUUAUCAGCUUGUUGGUGGGGUAGUGGCUUACCAAGGCCUUGCCGGGUAGCCGGCAUGGGAGGGUGACCGGCCACAUUGGGACUGAGAUACGGCCCAGACUCCAACGGGAGGCAGCAGUGGGGAAUAUGGCGCAAUGGGCGGAAGCCUGAUGCAGCAGCGCCGCGUGCGGGAUGACGGCCUUCGGGUUGUAAACCGCUUUCGCCUGUGACGAAGCGUGAGUGACGGUAAUGGGUAAAGAAGCACCGGCUAACUACGUG
rnacentral:rRNA from 1 species